GAUGAACGCUAGCGGGAGGCUUAACACAUGCAAGUCGAGGGGCAGCAUAGGGUAGCAAUACUCUGAUGGCGACCGGCAAACGGGUGAGUAACGCGUAUGUAACCUACCCUGUACAGGGGGAUAACCCGGAGAAAUUCGGACUAAUAUCCCAUAACAAUAUCCGGGGGCAUCUUUGGAUAUUUAAAGUUCCGGCGGUACGGGAUGGGCAUGCGUAACAUUAGCUAGUUGGUAAGGUAACGGCUUACCAAGGCUUUGAUGUUUAGGGGUCCUGAGAGGGUGGUCCCCCACACUGGUACUGAGACACGGACCAGACUCCUACGGGAGGCAGCAGUGAGGAAUAUUGGUCAAUGGGCGCAAGCCUGAACCAGCCAUCCCGCGUGCAAGGAAGACGGCGCUAUGCGUUGUAAACUGCUUUUCCAGGGAGAGAAACUUGCGCACGUGUUGCGCAAUUGACGGUACCCUGGGAAUAAGCAUCGGCUAACUCCGUG
rnacentral:rRNA from 1 species